rnacentral:rRNA from 1 species
AUGAAACUGAAUCUUUGUUUGAAAAUUAUGAAGAAUAUGAUGAUGCCAUUUACACCUGAAGAUUUUACUAUAAUUAAAUAUUUCUAUGAGAAUUAUGAAUAUAAUGCCAAUAUUAAUGAGUUUGUUGAGAAAGUCUCCGCUGUCAAAGAAGAGAUUAAUAUUUUGCAGGAAACUAUGGAGGAAGAAAUUGAUGAAACUAUGAGCUCAUUGGAUGAAAAAGAUGAUGAGGAGAGCAAAGAACAAAAGGAGGAAGAGCGGAUUAGCUACCCAUGCCCACCUUAUAAUGAGAGUAGCUCUUCAACUCAUACAUUAUUUAAUUUCUCUUCGUGCUUACCGAAGGAUGAAUGCCAUGAUGAUUGCUAUGAUCAUGUUGAUUCUUUUGAAAUAUCCCUUUUUGAUGAACUUAAUGCUUGCUAUGUUUGUGGCCAAGAUUCCAAUAUGAAUUAUGCUUAUGGAGAUGAACUUGAUAUAGUUCCUUAUGUUAAAAAUGAAAUUGUUGCUAUUGCACCAACACAUGAUAGUCCUAUUAUCUUCUUGAAUUCUCCCAACUACACUAUAUCGGAGAAGUUUGCUCUUGUUAAGGAUUACAUUGAUGGGUUGCCUUUUACCGUUGCACAUGAUAAUUUUGAUGAAUAUAAUAUGCAUGUGCUUGCUCCUCCUACUUGCAAUUAUUAUGAGAGAGGAACCACAUCUCCGCCUCUCUAUGUUUCCAACACGGUAAAAUAG